GUAAGAAAAUCUAGGAGAAUAAUUAUGGGAAAUAUUCAGAAAUGGUCAUAAGGAAUAACUAUAAUCAUUGGUAGUAGGGUAUAAUGCUUAAGCUUAAUGGUAAUGUCAAUGGCAUUGUGAUUGUGUUGGUUUGGAAAUAUGGCCCCCAAAUCCUUUUGACCCUCUUCCCAUCAAGGGCUCUAUGUCCUUUACCCUUAAAUUUGGGCUCUGUGACUUCUUGAAUCAUAGAAUAUGCCAAAGUGACAUCGUUCAAUUUUCUAGGCCAGGCAACCAAAAAUUGGUAACUUCCAUUUCUUCUUUCUUAGUACAUUUGCUCUUGGAUCCCAUCCACCACGCUGUGAGGAAGCCAAAUUACCUCAUGAAGAUGCCCUCAAGGAGCUGAACCAAAGGCUCUGGCCCAUAGCCUUACGGAUCUCCAAGUUGAAAGUCAGCACCAACCUGCUAGUCAUAAGAGUGAGUCAUCUUGACAGUAGAUCCUCCAGCCUCCAACAGAUGCCCUGUGGAGCAGAGAGGAGUCAUUCCUAUCAAACCCUGAAAAAUUCUAGAUCUCUAAUAAAAUAAAUUAUUGAUACUAUCUGAG
rnacentral:lncRNA from 10 species